CAAAACCAAAAAACCAAACCAAAGUCUUCGUUUAGCUGUGUCAAUUUUACAGACAGACCAGAGGUUAAGUGAGCUAUACCAGCUACAUCCUGUUCCCAAAAGCUCCAGGAAACCCCAGCAGUACCAGCAUGUCAACAAAGCUCCAGCUCAUUUUGAUGAUAAUGUCAUCAUUGUGCACAUGGGGCUGAAUGCUAAUGAAACAUUAUCCACUUUGAUAGACCUGAGGUGUCCUAGAAAAGUAACCACAGUGGUGUUCUGUUACAUUCUUCAGCCUCCUGUCACUCUACAGUAUACAGGAAGUGAAACCCUGUUGGUGGCACCGGUGAUCUACCCCACAGUUUCCUAGCAAACGAUGACAACAGCAAUGUGGGCAAGUGGAAUAACAGGAUACAAACUUUGCACAUGCAGACAGUGGACAGGGUUGACUCUACAUCCAGCGUGAGCUUUGGCUCUUGCACAUUUUUGCAAUCACACACACAGUCACACUGAGUAAAGGUGAAGGGUUUGAAGUUUUUCUCCUAGUGUGUUUUUCUCUGGUCGAGUCAGUGUGAUAUUUUGUCUGGCGAGGGGAUUUGCUAUGUGUGGCAUUGCAAAACAACACAGGGAUUUCUUAAAACAUGUGUAAGAGUGUGUAGGAGUGCAUGAGUGUGUGCACUUGUUAUUCAUGAGGCUCAAGGUCUUUGAUUACUUCUGAUAACAACUGCUAUGACAUAUUUAUCAAGACACCAUAAUCAUGUAAAUCAUCAGGAAAAAAAAAUCUAAUUCAAAUUCAAAUAAUCCUCUUAAAAUAGGCCUAUGUAAGUUUGGGUUCUUUCUUUGACAUAAAACAGGUUAUAUUGUGUAGCAAGGUGUCUGUUCUCAUUUAAAUACAACAAUGGCCACCCACGAUUCCAGUGGCCUUGGUUUCCAUUUUUCCCAUUCAUUUUCUGCAGAGACAUUCAAAAAAAAAAAAAAAAAAAAAAAAAAAAAAGAUUUAAUAUGAAAAAAUAUAUGCCUUGAACCAAACCAACCAACUUGGAAAUUUAUAACAUUUUUGAUUACAAACACGCUGUGAAACUGAAGAGAAUAUAUAUAUAUAUACACACACACACACACACAUAUUGAUUUUUAUUGAUUUAGCCAAUGAUUUAAAACCUCUGGGUAGUCUGGUAGUCUUGAAAGUUUUAUAUGUUAUUACUAUGUUUUUCUUUUUUCCUCUGGGGAAAAUGAAUGUGACUUUUACAUUGGGGAACCCUUCACUAUAGAUUAUGCACAAGUCUCUUCAUAAUAGAGCACAGUAGUGGUGUGCUCUUCUGUUCAAAACACCAUCUCGGGUUGAGUUACAGCAGGGCUUGGUUUGUUGGCAGCAGUGAAUGUGUCUCACAAGGUGUUGUGUGUCUGUUUGUGUGUUUUGGUCUGCAUGCACGUGCGUGUAUGAGGACAGAUUGGCUCGCGGUCGUGUGCGCUUGCUCUGCAAACUCUCUUUGUGCUUUGGAUUUAUUUAUACCAGAAGAACUUGAUGUGGCCAUAACAGAUUUGUUUGCAGACCAUUUUGGCUGUGUGUGUGUUGCACUGAAACCCCACUGUCGGCUCAUCCUGACAUCUGUGAGUCAAUUAGCUGUCUAAAGAGAAAACAUCCCCCCUUUCCACCUUGUGCACACACACGCUCACAUCGAGGGCAAGCCUCACGGCUGCCCCUGAGAGUGUGUGAACUCAGGCCGGUGUGCUCUGGUGGGGGAGGGGUGUAUAUUAGUGGGGGAGGGUAAUGGGGUUGGGUGUCAAGAAUGUGGCUGUUGGCUUGUUCUUUUGUAUGUUGUGUGUUUUAGUAAAACAGUACAGAGAUCUUACAUAUUUUACAACUUGUGCAUGAAUUAGUGCAAGUAAUAAGGUGCCAGGUGCCAUUUAAGUCUAAAAUGUAUAAUAUUUUUAUUUUAUUGUACAUGUUAUUUUUAUGUUAUUGUUUUACAUUUAAUUUUAAUUAAAUUUUAAAUAUUAUUAAACAUUUUAGUUUUAAUUACAUUUUAUUUAAAAUAUUAUUUACAAAUUAUUUAUUUUAUUUAAAUUUCAUUUGAUUUUAAUUUAAUUUAAUUACUUACUACUUAAUUACUUAAUACUAAUUUAUAAUAAAUAUGUAGUUUCAGCUUUGAAAAGAGCACUAAUGCACCUUCUGAACACUUGUGGCCUGUUUGGUCAUUUUGUGUGUCUUGAUCGAUCGGAUUGCUGUCCAAUUGCUUAUGGGUAUUUUAUUUAUACAUGGGAUCUCACACACUUUUGAGCCAUUUGACCCUAAAAGUUUUGAUAUUUUAUUUUAUUAUAUUUUAUUCUUUCCACAAAAAUAUGUUUCAGCCUCAAAAAGAAUAUUGUGAAUGCUUCAAAAGGCCUCUUUGGUAAUUGUGUGUCUUGAUUGAUCAGCUUGCUGUCCAGUUAGUUAUGAGUGUUGUAUUUAUACUUACAUAAAUGUGAUUUGACAUACAUUCAUUCUACUUUUCCAGAACUAUAUGCAAUUAUAAUGGGGCUCACUUCCUGGAUGCUGCUAAUGCCGGUUAUGAACUUUUCUGUUGAACGCUCUAUUAGCUUCAAUUAAUGUUUUAGUUUUAUUAAUGUUUUAGUUUUGUAUGUCUCAUUCAUGAUUACUCACUGUAGUGUGGAUUGUGAGGCUCUUAAACAUCCUUAUGUUGACAUAUUUCCAUUUGGGAGGAGUAAAGUUUACAUAUGUGGCCUGACCAGAUGACACAAAUGUAAAUGUAUCUGGUUGUCUCUCAAACCACCUCCUGAGGCAUCUGGGUUUACAUUUAUACUGGGUCCUAUCCUAAUCGGAUAGCUAGACCAAACAUAAACACCCCCUCAGAUCCUCCAGUUUUCCAAGUACACACACAAGCAAACUUCUGCACACACACAUCUGAAAACACAUGUGUAUCUUUCUCUUGCAGCUCAGCAUGUGGUUUCCAGCUCUUCUCUAAUGCGUCCCACAUUCUUCAUAUCGUCCCCGAUGCCCUCUGCAUCCUUAGGCUCUGCUAUGGAAAUACGCCUCAGUCUCCCCGCUAAUUAUUAAAGAAGCACCACCUCAUUAACUGGGCUAGGGGAUAAUAAAAGAUUCAUGCAGCAUUCUUAGCGUCGCUGCACGCUCAGCUCCUCUCUUGCUCUCUCCCACCUCGUCUCAUCUCCAGAGGAUUAUCAUGCAAGAUACUUAUCUGUUAUCCAUACAGGUCCCUCUCACUCUCUCAGUUUUUUGGGCUGCCAGCCAUCUUGUGUCAUGGCUGUAUGCCAAGUGCCUUCAGUCUGGAGAUUGGAGGAAAGGUUGUGAAUUAAAAUGAUUUACUAUUGUGAAAAGCGAAAGUGAAAACGCAUUAAAGUAUCUUGUGUCAUAUCUAAAAUAUGUUAAUUAAUAAUGAGAUUGAAAUCACGGGCACAGAGAAAUAACAUCUAUUUAAUUGUUAAUAAUUAAUAAUUUAAGUGUCAAAUAAAGUCGAUUUUUAUGGUAUUAGGUUUCCUUGUAUGGUGGUUUUAAUGUUUUCUCACUAGCGAUAACACAGUGGGUAGAUAUGGCUGUUUUCAAAUGUCAACAAACAAUGGCUGAAGUAAAAUGUCACCAUUGUGCUCCAAUACAUUCCAUAUGCAAAUACCCUCUUUUACAGCUCAAACCCCCAGUAAUGAAAUUCCUGUGGAAAAUGUGUCUAAUAAUCCCCGAAUGACACAAAUGACUGGUGAUUUACAAACAUUUAAAGAUCACAUUCCGGAUUCACUGAUAAGACAAUUUCUUGUGUCAUCUUUUGAAUAAACAUGACAUUCACAGGGAGAUUGUAGCGUUGCUGAAUGCUUUGGGAAUUUCCACGGCAAGGAAUCUCUGCCUAUUUCCUCCUAAGGCAAAAAGUCACUCAUUUACUUUCUAUUUCUUGUAAUUGUGGUUCUCUUAUAUCACACAUUGCCAUCCUAGUUUCAGUUUGGAAUUGGUAAUAUGACACUUCAAAUCCUUUUUUAAUACUUAUUUAAUAUUCUUAUAUCAUUUAAUUUUUUUUAUGCAAUAUUUAUGUUAUUGCAUACAAUAAAUUGUAUUACAAUACUAAUACAGGAUGUUUAAUAUGCAGGUACUUUAAUUGGAGAGCAUUCAUGGCUUGUUGCAGAGCUUUUGGAUAUUUUGUAGCCUAAUAAAAACAAAUGUGACAACACAGUGGCGUGUCAUUGAUCUCCUGUUCUGACUUCUGCCCUGUAUCCACAGAACGAGAGCUGAUGGAUAGCCCUGUCUCCAUAACCCAUUAAUAAUCAAGACUUUCAGUAUGGACAACAGUGGAGUAAACAGUGAUUUACUAACAGUGGAAAGGGAACCUCAAUACCAUUUAAGAGUUCUUUGAUGUUUACAUAUAGACUAGACCAUGUGCAGUAUAGGGACUGCAUUCAACAGGAUGUGGCUGUCCAAAAAGGGGUUUAGAGAAGUCGAAUGCAGCUCUCGCUCCCUGAAAUAAGACCCUAUCGUGCAAAAGCCAAAGACUCUGCCUCAUUGGCCGUGUAUCCACCCACUGUCCUCUCCCAUGGCCCUGACUCACCAUGUCCAGCAGCCUCCACUUCCCAGUGAUGGGGCGUUCUGUUCACCAAGAGGAAGCUCUGCAUGUAUUUAUAGACAUUUCUCGUAUGAGAAGUCUGAACAAUAACAAACCCCCACCCCCACAGCCACUUCACCACCACAACACAAAAUAUGGGGAGGAGCACAGAUAGAAUCAAACUUUAGUUUCACUGUUCGAUGAUAACAGGAAAAUAAAACUGAGAGCACUGCACUAUAGUUACGCACUAUACAGUUUACAAGGUGGUUUUUCAGCUAACAUAGAAUUGGGUAAUUUCAGUGUGACAGUAAUCAGGGAAAAAUUUGGGUUACAGUGCAGUUAUGGUGCGCUCAGAUGAUUCUAGAAUAAAAAAACUCAAUUACAUAUAUCAACAUCUGCUUAUAUGGUCUCUGGAGAACAUUAAGAAUUGAUACUUGUUCGCUGUUAAACACUUUUUAUGAAUAUGGUGCACUCUGCUGUCUUGUGACUUUUUAAAGGAUUAUAGGCCAAAAUUAUUAUUUUAUUUUAAUUUCAAUUUUGAGAAUGGUUGUCUAGCAUAAAAUUAGCCUAACAUGAAAAGAAGCUGGUUUUCAAUGCAUUAAACAUCUGUAUCCUCACAGAUUCUGUCCUGUGACACCUUUGGGGUCUUG